UCACAUUAGCUAGAUAAGGGGUAUGUUAUGGGUAUACAAGUGAGGCAGAAUGUCUCUAUUGAUUUGAGGCAUUUUGGGUGAUUCCAAAAGUCAAACCAUGAGAUCUUAUGGUCAAGUGAACAGUAUCAUACCAAUUAGAGUCGUGUCUCACAUUAGUUAGAUAAAGGGGAGGUUAUGGGUAUGUAAGUGAGACACAACAUCUCUAUUGAUUUGAAGCUUUUUGGGUGAUACCAAAAGUCAAACCAUGAGGGCUUAUGCCCAAAGUGGAAAGUAUCACACCAAUUAGAGAUGUUUCUCACAUGAGAAGGGGAAGGUUAUGGGUAUCACAAGUGAGAGACAUCUCUAUUGAUUUGAAGCUUUUUGGGUGAUACCAAAAAACAAUACCAUGAGGGCUUAUGUCCAAAGUAGACAAUAUCAUACCAAUUAAAGAUGUGGAGGGUGGUUCCUUGUCCUAAAUAAGUGGUAUCAUAAAUUUGUUCCUAACAUAGAGAUGUGCCAGGGGUUUUGGGUUAUAUGUGUAUAGAUGUGAGGGGACAUCUCAAUUGAUUUGAGCCAUUUUGGGUGAUACCAAAAGUCAAACCAUGAGGGAUAGUGCCCAAAGUUGACAAUAUCAUAACAAUUAGAUAUGUGUCUCACAAUAGAUAGAUAAGAGGAAGUUUAUGGAUUUACAAGUGAGGGACAACAUCUUUAUUGAUUGUUGAGGCAUUUUGGGUGAUACCAAAAGUCAGACCAUUUGAGUUUAUGCCCAGAAUAGACAAUAUCAUUCUAAUUAGAGGCGUGUCUCACAUUAGCUAGAUAAAGGGAAGGUUAUAGGCAUACAUGUGAAGGACAACAUCUCUAUUGAUUUGAGGCCUAUUGGGUAAUACCAAAAGUCAAACCACGAGUGUUUAUGCCCAAGUAGAGAUGUGUCUCACAUUAGCUAGAUAAGGGGAAUGUUAUUGGUAUACAAGUGAGGCACAACGUCUCUAUUAAUUUGAGGCCUUUUGGGUGAUUCCAAAAGUCCAAUUAUGAGAUCUUAUGCCCAAAUGGACAAUAUCAUACCAAUUAGAGACGUGUCUUACAUUAGUUAGAUAAAGGGUAGGUUAAGGGUAUUCAAGUGAGGGGCAACAUCUCUAUUGAUUUGAAACUUUUUGGGUGAUACCAAAAGUCAAACCAUGUGGGCUUAUGCCCAAAGUGGAAAAUAUCACACCAAUUAGAGAUGUUUUUCACAUGAGAAGGGGAAGGUUAUGGGUAUCACAAGUGAGGGACAACAUCUCUAUUGAUUUGAGGCUUUUUGGGUGAUACCAACAACCAUAUCAUACCAAUUAGAGAUGUGGAGGGUGGUUCCUUGUCCUAAAUAAGUGGUAUCAUAGCUUUGUUCCUAACUUAGCUACUUGAGUAGCAUACUCAGGUGCCGAAAAAAGUGGCGAGCGUCAGGGGUUUUGGGUUGUAUGAGUAUAGAUGUGAGGGGACAACAUCUCUAUUGAUUUGAGACAUUUUGGCUAAUACCAAAAGUCAAACCAUGAGGGCUUAUGUCCAAAGUGGACAAUAUCAUAACAAUUAGAGAUGUUUCUCACAAUAGAUAGAUAAGGGAAAGUUUAUGGAUUUACAAGUGAGGAACAUUAUCUGUAUUGAUUGUUGACGCAUUAUUGGUGAUACCAAAAGUUAGACCAUUCGGGUUUAUGUCCAAAGUGGACAAUAUCAUUCCAAUUAGAGGUGUGUCUCACAUUAGCUAGAUAAGGGGAAGGUUGUGGGUAUACAUGUGAAGGACAACAUCUGAGGCCUAUUGGGUAAUACCAAGAGUCAAACCACGAGAGCUUAUGCCCAAGUGGGCAAUAUCAUACCAAUUAGAGACGUGUCUCACAUUAGUUAGAUAAGGGGAAUGUUAUUGGUAUACAAACGAGGCACAGCGUCUCUAUUGAUUUGAGGCCUUUUGGGUGAUUCCAAAAGUCCAAUUAUGAGAUCUUAUGCCCAAGUAGACAAUAUCAUACCAAUCAGAGACGUGUCUCACAUUAGUUAGAUAAAAGGGAAGUUAUGGGUAUGCAAGUGAGGGACAACAUCUCUAUUGAUUUGAAGCUUUUUGGGUGAUACCAAAAGUCAAACCACGAGGACUUAUGUCCAAAGUGGAAAAUAUCACACCAAUUAGAGAUGUUUCUCACAUGUGAAGGGGAAGAUUAUGGGUAUCACAAGUGAGGGACAACAUCUAUAUUGAUUUGAGGCUUUUUGGGUGAUACCAAAAACAAUACCGUGGGGCUUAUGUCCAAAAUGCACAAUAUCAUACUAAUUAGAGAUGUGGAGGGUGGUUCCUUGUCCUAAAUAAGUGGUAUCAUAAAUUUGUUCCUAACUUAGAGAUGUGUCACGGGUUUUGGGUUACAUGAGUAUAGAUGUGAGAAGACAACAUCUCUAUUGAUUUGAGGCAUUUUGGGUGAUACCAAAAGUCAAACCAUGAGGGCUUAUGCCCAAAGUGGACAAUAUCAUAACAAUUAGAGAUGUCUCACAUUAGAUAGAUAAGAGGAAGUUUAUUGGUAUACAAGUGAGGGAGAACAUUUCUAUUAAUUGUUGAGGCAUUUUGGGUGAUACCAACAGUCAGACCAUGCGGGCUUAUGCCCAUAGUGGACAAUAUCAUUCCAAUUAGAGGAGUGUCUCACGUUAGCUAGAUAAGGGGAAUGUUAUGGGUAUACAUGCGAAGGACAACAUCUCUAUUGAUUUGAGGCAUAUUGGGUAAUACCAAAAGUCAAACCAUGAGAGCUUAUGCCUAAGUGGACAAUAUCAUACAAAUUAGAGAUGACCUUAUCUAGAUAAGGGGAAUGUUAUGGGUAUAGAAGUGAGGCAUAACGUCUCUAUUGAUUUGAGGCCUUUUGGGUGAUUCCAAAAGUCAAACCGUGUGAUCUUAUGCCCAAGUGGACAAUAUCAUACCAAUUAGAGACGUGUCUCACAUUAGUUAGAUAAAGGGGAGGUUAUGGGUAUGCAAGUGAGAGACAACAUCUCUAUUGAUUUGAAGCUUUUUGGGUGGUACCAAAAGUCAAACCAUGAGGGCUUAUGGCCAAAGUGGAAAAUAUCACACCAAUUAGAGAUGUUUCUCACAUGUGAAGGGGAAGGUUAUGGGUAUCACAAGUGAGAGACAACAUCUCUAUUGAUUUGAGGCUUUUUGGUGAUACCAAAAACAAUACCAUGUGGCUUAUGUCCAAAGUGGACAAUAUCAUACUAAUUAGAGAUGUGGAGGGUGGUUCCUUGUCCUAAAUAAGUGGUAUCAUAGCUUUGUCCUACCUGAGUAGCAUACUCAGGUGCUGAAAAAAGUGGCGAGCAUCAGGGGUUUAUAUGAGUAUAGAUGUGAGUGGACAACAUCUCUAUUGAUUUGAGACAUUUUGGGUGAUACCAAAAGUUAAACCAUGAGGACUUAUGCCCAAAGUGGGCAAUAUCAUUACAAUUAGUGAUGUGUCUCACAUUAGAUAGAUAAGAGGAAUUUUAUGAGUAUAUAAGUGAGGGACAACAUCUCUAUUGAUUGUUGAGGCAUUUUAGGUAAUACGAAAAGUCAAACCAUGAACAAUAUCAAACCAAUUAGAGAUGUGUCUUACAUUAGCUAGACAAGGGGAAUGUUACGGGUAUACAAGUGAGACACAACGUCUAUUGAUUUGAGGCCUUUUCGGUGAUGCCAAAUGUCAAACCAUGAGAUCUUAUGCCCAAGUGGACAAUAUCAUACCAAUUAGAGAUGUUUCUCACAUUAGCUAGAUAAGGGGAAGAUUAUGGGUAUCACAAGUGAGGGACAGCAUCUCUAUUGAUUUGAGGUAUUUUGGGUGAUACCAAAAGUCAAACCAUGAGGGCUUAGGCCCAAAGUGGACAAUAUCAUACCAAUUAGAGAGGUGGAGGGUGGUUCCUUAUCUAAAUAAGUGGUAUCAUAGCUUUGAUCCUAACUGAGGUCUUAACUACCUGAGUAUGCUACUCAGGUGCCGAAAAAAGUGGGAGCUUCAUGGUUUUUGGGUUAUAUGGGUAUAGAUGUGACGGGACAAAAUCUCUAUUGAUUUGAAGCUUUUUGGGUGAUAUCAAAUUUCAAACCCUGAGGGCUUUUGUCCAAAGUGUACGAAUCAUACUAAUUUGAGAUGUGUCUCACAUUAGCUAGGCAAGGGGAUGCUUCCAUUCAAGUGAGGGACAACAUUUCUAUUGAUUUGAGGCCUGUUAGUUAAUAUCAAAAGUCAAACCAUGAGUGCUUAUGUCCAAGUGGAUAAUAUCAUUCCAAUUAGAGACGUGUCUCACAUUAGCUAGAUAAGGGGAAUGUUAUGGGUAUACAAGUGAGGCACAAUAUCUCUACUGAUUUGAGGUCUUUUGGGUGAUGCCAAAAGUUAAACCAUGAGAUCUUAUGCCCAAGUGGACAAUAUCAUACCAAUUAUAGAUGUGUCUCACAUUAGUUAGAUAAAGGGAAGGUUAUGGAUAUGCAAGUGAGGGACAACAAUUCUAUUGAUUUGAAGCUUUUUGGGUGAUACCAAAAGUCAAACCACGAAGGCUUAUGCCAAAAGUUGACAAUAUCCGACCUAUUAGAGACGUGUCUCACACGAGCUAGAUAAUGGGAAGGUUAUGGGUGUCACAAGAGAGGGACAACAUCUCUAUUGAUUUGAGGCCUUUUGGGUGAUAACAAAAAUAAUAUCACGAGGGUUUAUGCUCAAAGUGGAUAAUAUCAUACCAAUUAGUGAUGUUUCUCACCUGAGAUAGAUAAGGGGAAGGUUAUGGGUAUCACAAGUGAGGAACAAAAUCUCUAUUUAAGGCCUUUUGGGUGAUACCAAAAAGUAUUCCAUGAGGGCUUAUGCCGAAAGUGGACAAUAUCAUCAUACCAAUUAGAGAUAUGGAGGGUGAUUCCAAAAGCAAAGUUAUGAGGGUAAUGUCCAAAGUGGAUGUAGAGAUAUGCAUAAUGGUACCUUAUUCUUUUUUUUUGUUUUUUUGGUUUUUUUGAGUAUCUUUCUAAUGCGUGUUCAAUAACAUAUGUUAGACUUUUGUAUUUUAUAUGAAGCCUCUGUAUGUUAUUCAUGAAAUGAUGAAUUUAAAAAGACUAUAUAAUUCCAUUACAUUAUUAGAAGCAUGACAUAGUAAUACUAUAACAAUUUCUUUACCCUCCCCACUUUUUGCUUUUUUUCUUUUGUUAAUCGUCUUUAUAGAUUUGCUACUCGGGUUUCUUUAUAGAUCUCAAAUAUUAUGCAGUUCCCACGGUAAGUACAACUUUCUAUCUUGAUAAUUUUGAAAUGCUUUUAACCGAAGUCAUAGGUAUUCUGACCAUGUAUUUUUCUUUUUAUUAGUUUUUUAAGUGAAAAUUUGCUUAUAAAUAUAGUUAAUUAAUGUUAUUAUUUUUAAAUUUUGAAUCAUUUUUUUUUCUGAAAGAAUUUAUCUAUUUUGAAUCCAUGUGUUUUUGUCUCAAUUGGAAUUAAAACUGUUAUUAUUUAUUAUUAUUACUUCUUUUUUCUUCUUUGAAAAAAAAAAGAAACAUUUUUAUUUAUUUGCAAUCGAAAUCACAAAAUUGGAGGUAUAUUUUUUAGAAUAAAAGCUUUAAAGAACAGUAUGUGUUAAACUUGUAAUAUUGUUUGUUCUUUUGUAUUUUAGUUGCCUUAGGUUUUAAUUUUUAUUCAUUUCUAAUGGAUUAUAAUAAAUUUAUUUGAAAUUUAUACUAUAUUUUAAUUAAUAGAAAAGAACCAAAACGACAGUGUAUGUAUACUGUGAUGAAGCUGUUACAUAUAUUGACAACUGUGUAUGUUUGAUUAGGUUAACAUAAAAACUCAGAAUCGUGUGGACCAAGUCUGCAUAUAGUCCCAAAUUUCGCCCGCAAGUUGACGAUUCGAGACAACUUGAUUUGGUGAGUUGAAGGCGUACCAAACUGUUCUUGAUACGAGCUUGCAACAUAAUACCUCUCAAUUUCAUGAUGCUUCAAGGAUUUGUGCUAUAUACAGCACAACAACGAAAAGGUUUGGAGUGGUUAGGGAAAAUCUUUUUAAAGACUUUAUUGUUCUAUAAUUUGCUAAAAGAACUAUGUCGAACGAGAACAAUUGCAAACCGAUAUCAGGAUUGAAGAUGUCUACUUUCUGUGUGGUGUUGCAAUUCGACACUACCACUCUCAAUACAAAAAACAAGGCUGGGCCCAAAAGUACAUAAUUGGCCCACCAGAAUCACUAGCUAGACGGGGCGACACCUGGGCCUGUCCGUAACCAGCCCAA